AUGUGCCUCUCGCUGGAAAUA
rnacentral:sRNA from 1 species